CCUUCGAUAGCUCAGUUGGUAGAGCGGUGGACUGUAGAAGUUAAAUUCAACAAUGUGUAGAAAUCCAUAGGUCACUGGUUCAAAUCCGGUUCGAAGGA
rnacentral:tRNA from 1 species